CGCCCUUGAGUUUGAUCAUGGCUCAGAACGAACGCUGGCGGCAUGCUUAACACACGCAAGUCGAACGGCAUUCUCGGGUUCGCCUGGGGGUGCACUGGCGCACGGGUGAGUAGCGCGUGGGAACCUGCCUUUCAGUGGGGGAUAACCGAGGGAAACUUCGGCUAAUACCGCAUACGUCCGCUGGAGCGAUCUGGCGGGGAAAGAUUUAUCGCUGAGAGAGGGGCCCGCGUCGGAUUAGCUUGUUGGUGGGGUAACGGCCUACCAAGGCGAUGAUCCGUAGCUGGUCUGAGAGGAUGAUCAGCCACACUGGGACUGAGAUACGGCCCAGACUCCUACGGGAGGCAGCAGUGGGGAAUAUUGGACAAUGGGCGCAAGCCUGAUCCAGCAAUGGCCGUUUUUUUUAGGAAGGCCUUAGGGUUGUAAAGCUCUUUCGGCGGGGACGAUGAUGACGGUACCCGCAGAAGAAGCCCCGGCUAACUUCGUGCCAGCAGCCGCGGUAA
rnacentral:rRNA from 1 species